AUUGAACGCUGGCGGCAUGCUUUACGCAUGCAAGUCGAACGGUAACAGGCCGCAAGGUGCUGACGAGUGGCGAACGGGUGAGUAAUGCAUCGGAACGUGCCCAGUCGUGGGGGAUAACUACUCGAAAGAGUAGCUAAUACCGCAUACGAUCUAUGGAUGAAAGCGGGGGACCGUAAGGCCUCGCGCGAUUGGAGCGGCCGAUGUCAGAUUAGGUAGUUGGUGGGGUAAAGGCUCACCAAGCCAACGAUCUGUAGCUGGUCUGAGAGGACGACCAGCCACACUGGGACUGAGACACGGCCCAGACUCCUACGGGAGGCAGCAGUGGGGAAUUUUGGACAAUGGGCGCAAGCCUGAUCCAGCAAUGCCGCGUGCAGGAAGAGGGCCUUCGGGUUGUAAACUGCUUUUGUACGGAACGAAACGGCUCUGGUUAAUACCCGGGGCUAAUGACGGUACCGUAAGAAUAAGCACCGGCUAACUACGUG
rnacentral:rRNA from 1 species